CCCUUCACGAGCCAGCUUGCCCACCGAGUAGAGUCAUCCCGAUCUGUUCGCCCAGCCCUCAUGCCAGAUCGCCCGCCGUGUGGAGUCAUCCAACCACGGGUCAUCAUUCGGGUUUCAGCCUUCGUGAGGCCGUUCGACACCCCAGCCAACCGUCCACGUUUAGCAGUCGAAUUUUUCGCCGCCGUCGAAGCCUCAACCAUCACUUGAGUCAUCGGCCACCACUGCGUAAUCUCAAUGGAAUCUUGUGUUUUGGGGAUUUUGGAGAUUGACUUGAUAGUUUGAAGGAGUUUAAGAGAAUUUUGGUGUGCUAGCAAGCAAAGUUAAGGUGAUUUCGGCAAGGAUUUUGAAUUAAAUUCCAAGAUUGUGAAGAUUAGAAGGGUAUUGGUUGCUCAAAUAAUUGUUUGGGCUUAAAUUCUACAUUUGGAGGUGAAUUUGAAUCGGACCACAUCUUAGGUUUGAUUAAGGAUUUGAGAAUUUCACAAAGAUUCAAUUGUUUUUUGGUUCAACCUAUCAUCAAGGUAAGUAAUCUUACUACUGAAAUUGCCCACGGGCCAGAUACUAGAUAUAGCUAGCAUGAUAGAUGAAUAUUAUGACAGAGCGAUGACAUGAUAGACGGAUAGUAUAGUAUAACCGAUGUAUGUUCUUGUAUGAGGAUCUGAAAGAUUUAUUUGUGCACGUAGAUACUUGCAUGCUAGCAUGAGAUGAUACUUGAUUCCA